rnacentral:tRNA from 1 species
GGAUGAGUAGCCUAGCGGCGAGGGCAGCAGACUGUAAAUCUGUGACAAGGAAACAUCGUUGGUUCGAGUCCAACCUCAUCCA